rnacentral:misc_RNA from 1 species
GAAAUGCGAUACGUAGUGUGAAUUGCAGAAUUCAGUGAAUCAUCGAAUCUUUGAACGCACAUUGCGCCCUUUGGUAUUCCAAAGGGCAUGCCUGUUCGAGCGUCAUUUGUACCCUCAAGCUUUGCUUGGUGUUGGGCGUUUUUUGUCUUUGGCUCGCCCAAAGACUCGCCUUAAAACGAUUGGCAGUCGGCCUACUGGUUUCGCAGCGCAGCACAUUUUUGCGCUUGCAAUCAGCAAAAGAGGACGGCAAUCCAUCAAGACUCCUUCUCACGUUUGACCUCGGAUCAGGUAGGGAUACCCGCUGAACUUAAGC